rnacentral:rRNA from 1 species
GUCCUUUAGAUAANUAUAAUUUAAGGUCUAACCUGCCCAUUGACUUAGUUAAAAGGCCGCAGUAAUUUGACUGUGCAAAGGUAGCAUAAUCAUUAGUUUUUUAAUUAAAAGCUUGUAUGAAUGGUUGGACGAGAUAAAAUCUGUCUCUAAAUAAUUAAUAGAAUUUAAUUUUUAAGUUAAAAAGCUUAAAUUUAUUUAAAAGACGAGAAGACCCUAUAGAUCUUUAUAUAAUUAUUUUUAGUAUUAAUUAAGAAAAUUUUAUUUAUUAAUAAUAUUUAUAUUUUAUUGGGGUAAUAAGAAGAUUAAAAAAAUUCUUUUUAAUUAAACAAUAAUUAUUGAUUAUAUGAUCCAUUUUUAGUGAUUAUAAGAUUAAGUUACCUUAGGGAUAACAGCGUAAUUUUUUUAAAGAGUUCUUAUCAAUAAAAAAGUUUGCGACCUCGAUGUUGGAUUAAAAGUAAUCUUAGGUGCAGAAGUUUAAGGUUUUGGUCUGUUCGACCAUUAAAUUUUUACAUGAUCUGAGUUUAGACCGGCGUAAGCCAGGUUGGUUUCUAUCUUUAAUUAUUAAAUAUAUUUUAGUACGAAAGGACCAAAUAUAUAAUAUAUUUAUAUUUAUUUUUUUGAAUUA